GUAUUACCCACUUUUUUACCACUCAUUCUAUAUAUUUGUAGUUAAACCAAUUAUAAACAACUCCCAAAUAUGCUUUAAGCCUCUAACUGAAGUUUAUUGUUGCAGUUCAAAAUGCGAGAACCACAAAUGUGCAAUGUAGUUUGCCAUAUCACACUUGAUGCCAAACUUGCAAAGGAAUUCAAGGAGAAGAUAGAUGAUGAAUACCGGGUGAACAUGUGAGCUACCAUUUUUAGGAAUGUGAUGUAUUCUAAUAAUAUUGCCUUACAUGACUCAUAUUCUACUUUUUUUGUUUUUAUCAGGAUUUUAGAUAAUCUCCCUCUAGUUGUGCCUUAUAAAAGACCUGACAUAGAUUCCCUAGUGUAUCAAUAUGGUGUGCCUGUUGGUGUAAAAGCACAGUAUGCUGGAGUAAGUAUUAACUUGAUUUGCUUUCGCAGUUGUAAAUCUCCUUUUCUUCAAGGAACUUUUUGACACCUUUUUUUUCUCCUGAAUUUUUUGCUUAGAGUAAGGAAGAAAAGUAUUUUAUCUACAACCAUUUGACAUUCACUGUGAAGUUUCAUAAAGACGAAGAGACUGAUGCUGCAAGAAUUGUGGGAUUUGAAGUCAAACCUUUCAGGUAAUAUUGUGCUGUGUGUUAAAUUUGUGCUUCAGCAGUAAUCUGGUCAUUUUUCUGAUGUUGGAUUUCCUUUGUGCAUCCAGCGCUAAGCAUGAAUAUGAGGGUAAAGGGGAUGGUAAAACACGGUUAAAAACCUGUGAUCCUCAUGCAAAACGAACUAUAACCAGCUCUGAUUCUCCUCAGGAGGUUGAAGAUAAGAAGGAAAUAAUCUUCACGUACGAUGUUGAGUUUAAGGUAAUAUUUUGCGACAGACUGUGGCUAUAAUAACUAUAUGAUGGAAAAAGCUGGCAUUAUGGUCGUAUGUCAUUGUGCUUUUCUCCUUGCCUUGUAGGAGAGCGAAGUCAAGUGGGCAUCCAGAUGGGAUACUUAUCUUUUGAUGACUGAUGAUCAAAUUCAUUGGUUCUCAAUUGUAAAUUCUUUGAUGAUUGUUCUUUUCCUUUCGGGUAUGGUGGCCAUGAUUAUGUUGCGUACCCUCUACCGUGACAUCUCUAAGUACAAUCAAUUAGAGACCCAGGAAGAAGCUCAAGAAGAAACUGGAUGGAAAUUAGUUCAUGGAGAUGUUUUCAGGCCUCCAACAAACUCUGAUCUACUCUGUGUUUAUGUUGGAACUGGCGUUCAGUUUUUUGGGAUGAUACUAGUUACCAUGAUCUUUGCUGCACUUGGAUUCUUAUCCCCAUCUAACCGAGGAGGGUUGAUGACAGCUAUGCUUCUUCUCUGGGCAUUCAUGGGCCUGCUUGCUGGAUAUGCCUCAUCUCGUCUUUACAAGAUGUUCAAAGGAACAGAGUGGAAGAAAAUUACUCUUCAAACCGCUUUCACCUUCCCUGGAAUUAUCUUUGCCAUUUUCUUUGUAUUGAAUGCUCUGAUUUGGGGCGAGAAAUCCUCAGGCGCUGUGCCAUUUGGAACCAUGUUUGCAUUAGUGUUCUUGUGGUUUGGUAUUUCGGUUCCUCUUGUCUUUGUUGGUAGUUAUGUAGGGUUUAGGAAGCCAGCUAUUGACAAUCCAGUGAAAACCAACAAGAUUCCAAGGCAAAUUCCUGAGCAGGCCUGGUACAUGAACCCAAUUUUCUCUAUCCUAAUUGGAGGCAUACUCCCAUUUGGCGCAGUAUUUAUUGAGCUGUUCUUCAUUUUAACAUCAAUCUGGUUGCAUCAGUUCUAUUACAUUUUCGGGUUCCUCUUCCUUGUGUUCGUAAUACUAAUCAUAACAUGUGCUGAGAUCACAAUCGUGCUCUGCUAUUUCCAGCUGUGCAGUGAGGAUUAUCUCUGGUGGUGGAGAUCAUAUCUGACAUCAGGGUCAUCAGCACUCUACCUCUUACUUUAUGCAGCUUUUUACUUCUUCACAAAGCUCGACAUCACAAAACCAGUAUCUGGUGUUCUCUACUUUGGGUACAUGCUGAUUGCUUCAUAUGCUUUCUUCGUGCUGACUGGUACAAUUGGUUUCUAUGCAUGUUUCUCGUUUACAAGGCUCAUCUACUCCUCGGUGAAGAUUGACUAAGUGAUGGGACGUUGAAGUAAGUGUUUAUAGUCCCUCAAGAAAGCUUAUUAAACUCCUGGGGCCUUUUUUCAAAAGUUAUGCUCGGUGUAACCUUUGAACUCCCUAAAGGUAGAAGUUAUCUUGCUCAUCUCCUUUGCAUUUAUAAUUUUGGUUUUGUAUGGAGACUUUACUUGUUUUUGAACUGUCCCAUUUUAGUUAUAACGAGAAUACUUAUUGUAAUGAUACUUUUGUUGAUGAAAUAUGUGUAAGGUACUUCUUUCCUAUUUGUCACAGCUAAAAUUGUUGUGAAACUGCUGAAUUUUGUAUUCUUCCAUCAAAUAGAUGCAGUCUCAUCUUCGUUGCAG
rnacentral:lncRNA from 1 species